rfam:Agrilus planipennis Contig32876, whole genome shotgun sequence.
CCUCUCGUAGUUUAGUGAUAGAACAUUGGUGCGUAAAGCCAAAGGUCCCGGGUUCGAUUCCCGGUGGGGGUG